GAAUUACUCCCUUCGUCUGGAAUUAUUUGUCGCAGAAAUGGAUGUAUCUAGAUGUAUUUUUAGUUCUGGAUGCAUCCAUUUCGGCGACAAAUAAUUCAGGACAGGGGGAGUAUCAU
rnacentral:pre_miRNA from 1 species